GCUCUCGUCAGGAUGGUGAAGCUGUUCAUCGGAAACCUGCCCCGGGAGGCCACAGAGCAGGAGAUCCGCACACUCUUCGAGCAGUACGGGAAGGUGCUGGAAUGUGACAUCAUUAAGAACUACGGCUUCGUGCACAUAGAGGACAAGACGGCGGCAGAAGAUGCCAUCCGCAACCUGCACCACUACAAGCUGCACGGGGUGAACAUCAAUGUGGAAGCCAGCAAGAAUAAGAGCAAAACCUCCACAAAGUUACAUGUGGGCAACAUCAGUCCCACUUGUACCAACAAAGAGCUUCGGGCCAAGUUUGAGGAGUACGGUCCAGUCAUCGAGUGUGACAUCGUGAAAGAUUAUGCCUUCGUACACAUGGAGCGGGCAGAGGAUGCGGUCGAGGCCAUCAGGGGCCUCGACAACACAGAGUUUCAAGGCAAAAGAAUGCACGUGCAAUUGUCUACAAGCCGCCUUCGGACUGCCCCUGGGAUGGGAGACCAGAGUGGCUGCUAUCGGUGUGGGAAGGAGGGGCACUGGUCUAAAGAGUGCCCAGUAGAUCGUACGGGUCGCGUAGCAGACUUUACUGAGCAGUAUAAUGAACAAUACGGAGCCGUGCGCACGCCUUACACCAUGGGCUAUGGGGAAUCCAUGUAUUACAACGAUGCAUAUGGAGCACUCGACUACUAUAAGCGUUACCGGGUUCGCUCUUAUGAGGCAGUGGCAGCAGCAGCAGCAGCUUCUGCAUACAACUACGCAGAACAGACCAUGUCCCAUCUGCCUCAAGUCCAGAACACAGCUGUGACCAGUCACCUCAACUCUUCUGUUGAUCCGUACGACAGACACCUGUUGCCGAACUCAGGUGCUGCUGCCUCCUCAGCUAUGGCUGCUGCUGCUGCCACCACUUCCUCCUAUUAUGGAAGGGACAGGAGCCCCAUUCGUCGUGCUGCAGCUGUGCUCCCCACAGUUGGAGAGGGCUACGGUUAUGGGCCAGACAGUGAGCUGUCUCAGGCUUCAGCAGCUGCACGGAAUUCUCUGUAUGACAUGGCCCGGUAUGAACGGGAGCAGUAUGUGGACCGAGCGCGGUAUUCAGCCUUUUAAAAACUGGAGGUGAGAGUGGGGUAGGUGUGGUUAAAAGAUCCCAUUUAGUUCCCUUGAAAGAGACCCAUGCUGUAGGGGGGAAGCUAAAGCCACCUGUUUGCUGUCAGGACAUUAGUAUCCAAAAAGUAUAAAUUACUUGUUAGAGAGAAGAAACUGAGUUUGUUAGUGAGAAUACUGUUAUUUAAGUAAGUGUAAGCUAAUCUGGGUUACAGAAACAUAGUUAAGAGAGCUAACAUUUGUUAAGUGCCCUGUGUAUAUAUCAUAUCAUUUCACCUACACAAUAAGCCUUUAAGAUAUGUUCUGUUAUACGGAGAAGGGAGCUAAGCCUCAGGCUAAGUACUUUGCCUGAAGUCAUCUGGUAACUGAGAAAUAGAGCCAGAAUUCAAACUCAGGCCUGGCUGAUUCCUAAACCCAUUAUCUUUCCACUAAAGUCACUGUGGUAUAAGCUGAAGAGUACAGGUUCAGGAGUUAAUAAUGUCACAGUGAGAAUUUUAACUACACCUUUAUAGACUUCCAAUUGGCUAAUAAAAAUACUACUUGGGUUAUUAACCUUUAUCAGAGGAACCUCUUCUAAUAUAUAGCUAUAAGCCAAAUAAAGUUUAUAAAAUUUUAGGUGUUUAGUUAUAAGACACUUGCUUGAAAUCAGAGUGUUUGGAUGCCACUGUCCCAUGAAGUCCCUUAUUAGUAAUCUGGAGCAGCAGUCGCCAACCUUUUGGACCUACAGACCACUGGUUGGCAACCGCUGAUCUGGAGCAUCUCAUUGUACAUGGGCACGUAAGCUGUAUCUCUGCAUAGUCAGUGAUACUUUCAUGUUCAGCCUGAUGCUUCCCUUUUUUUCCAGCAAGUUUUGUUUGGUUUGGUUUGAGAGGAACAUUUAAGGAACUAGAUAAACAGGGUAAUUUUUGAUGUAUAUAAAAUCCCACUGGUGACCCUGGGAAUUUAAUUUUUCCUACUUCAGAAAAUGUAUGCAAAGAUGCUAGAAGGGCAAGAGUAAUUAGAUUGAUAAGUCUCUUCAAGUAGAAAUGGUAUGACAACUUUCUAUUCUGGUUUUCCUUGUACCUUGAAAUUGAGAAUCACUUGAAUGGGAGGCCUAGUAGCAAAGUUAAACUUAGUUACCACUGAGUUUCCAGGGUUCCUAACUUAUCCCUUUGGUACAUGUUUUGUCAUGUAGAAGAAAACAAAGCAGUAGGAACUGCCCUUUUUCAUAGUGAGAAGCAAAUUUGGCAUGAACUUACGGCAAAUGAUACCCUUAUGACCAUGAGACCAUGACAAGACUGGGAUCUCCUGAGACCACUGGGCAGUACUGUGUUCAUGUGCAUGAAGUUGAUAACCUUACAACUUGUGUAGUUUGCCAUUACUUUUUACUUUUAAUACAGCUGAAUCUGCCAUGAAAUGGGAUAUGCCUCUAAAAUAAGGUGGUAUUAUCUGUCAGAUAACUUCUUUCUCUUGAAUGUUUCAAAGUUAAAUAUUAAGUUAGUAUAUGUGAUCUUUAAAGGAUAUUGCCUAGUUAUUUUAAAGUGAAUUUUGAGUUCAAGCAGUGGUUGUUCAACUAACCUCUUUUUAACGAUGACUUUUAAAGAAACUUACCUUCCAGGUGUGAACCUCAAAUGGACUGAAUAACCCUGAGUUGGUUGCAGUCCCAGGAGCCUGAUGGUAAUGAGGCUGCCAGGAUGAAAUACUCCAGAACUGUUGGGGAUCCAAUUUCGGGUCUCACUCUAGCAGAACUGAUUCAACAACGUCACAGCUUUUGAAGUCCAUUGGCACAGAUCAAGACCAAGAUUUGGCCCUUUGUCUGUAAUAAGUAGAGGAGCUUGGUGACAGGACCAGGGCCCUUGUACUCGGAGCCAGGCUGCUCUCCAGGCAUUGUAUAAGCCUCUUGUGUUGUGCUCUCUUUCAGGUAGGAUAAUUGUGGACUGAACCCUCGGGCUGCGGUCAUAUAUGAGAACUUGCUUCACGCGGUCCCCUUUGCCGGGAUGUUUCCAUUGCUUCAUGUUUCAGUAAACAAAGGAGUUUGUGACCAACUAUGUUUUCCUUCUUAAUUUAAUUCUUCUAAGUUGACUUUUCUUUCCUCCUAAUAUGAGGGUCUGUAGCCUUUCAUUCUAUUCCUUAUAUUCUCAGCCUUUGAGCAGCACUAGGUAAGGAUUAUGCUGGCAUCCCCUUUUUCCAAUACAGUGGAACCCCUCUUAUCUUGGUUUCCAUAGGAGUUGAAUCCUUCCUCCUGUCUACCUGAAACAUCUCCUUAGCCUUUAAAAUGACCAUUUAGUGGCAAGCAACCUUUUCCUCUUCUGUUAGCUCUGGAUUUAACAUUGAAGCUAAUCCUCUGAAAUUGCUAGGACCACUGGGGUGGGGUUGGGGGGUGUUUUGUUUGUUGUUUUGUUUUUUUUUUAUGUCUGACGUGAUCGUGGUACAGCAUUUGCUGAAAUUUAGCCUUGUUUUGCUCCACUCCUCCCAUUUUUUAAAAAUAUUUUGACAAAUAAACGUUUCUAACACUUAAGUA